rnacentral:rRNA from 1 species
UACGAAGGGGGCUAGCGUUGUUUGGAAUUACUGGGCGUAAAGCGCGCGUAUGCAGCUUUGCAAGGCAGAGGUGAAAUGCCUGAGCUCAACAUGGGAAUUGCCUUUGGGACUGUGAGGCUUUGAGGACUGGAGAGGUGAGUGGAAUUCCCAGUGUAGAGGUGAAAUUCGUAGAUAUUGGGAAGAACACCGGUGGCGAAGGCGGCUCAAGGGCCAUUUUCUGACGCUGCAGCGCGAAAGCGUGGGGAUCAAACAGG